rnacentral:rRNA from 1 species
AAUCCAUAGGUUAAUGAGGCGAACCGGGGGAACUGAAACAUCUAAGUACCCCGAGGAAAAGAAAUCAACCGAGAUUCCCCCAGUAGCGGCGAGCGAACGGGGAGGAGCCCAGAGCCUGAAUCAGCAUGUGUGUUAGUGGAAGCGUCUGGAAAGGCGCGCGAUACAGGGUGACAGCCCCGUACACAAAAGCGCAUGUGCUGUGAGCUCGAUGAGUAGGGCGGGACACGUGGUAUCCUGUCUGAAUAUGGGGGGACCAUCCUCCAAGGCUAAAUACUCCUGACUGACCGAUAGUGAACCAGUACCGUGAGGGAAAGGCGAAAAGAACCCCGGCGAGGGGAGUGAAAAAGAACCUGAAACCGUGUACGUACAAGCAGUGGGAGCACAGGUUUACCUGUGUGACUGCGUACCUUUUGUAUAAUGGGUCAGCGACUUAUAUUCUGUAGCAAGGUUAACCGUAUAGGGGAGCCGUAGGGAAACCGAG